rnacentral:rRNA from 1 species
AUUGAACGCUGGCGGCAGGCUUAACACACGCAAGUCGAGCGGAGAUGAGGUGCUUGCACCUUAUCUUAGCGGCGGACGGGUGAGUAAUGCUUAGGAAUCUGCCUAUUAGUGGGGGACAACAUUCCGAAAGGAAUGCUAAUACCGCAUACGCCCUACGGGGGAAAGCAGGGGAUCUUCGGACCUUGCGCUAAUAGAUGAGCCUAAGUCGGAUUAGCUAGUUGGUGGGGUAAAGGCCUACCAAGGCGACGAUCUGUAGCGGGUCUGAGAGGAUGAUCCGCCACACUGGGACUGAGACACGGCCCAGACUCCUACGGGAGGCAGCAGUGGGGAAUAUUGGACAAUGGGUGGAAGCCUGAUCCAGCCAUGCCGCGUGUGUGAAGAAGGCCUUUUGGUUGUAAAGCACUUUAAGCGAGGAGGAGGCUACCUGGAUUAAUACUCUAGGAUAGUGGACGUUACUCGCAGAAUAAGCACCGGCUAACUCUGUGCCAGCAGCCGCCGUAAGAC